CUAAAGAGGUGAUAUUUGAGUGAUGAGGAGUCAGCCUUGUGAGCUGCUCGAGAAGAGUAUUCUUGCAGAGAAAAUUGAACCAUGACCUGCCUCUCCCUUCCCCUCCCACUUCAGCCAUGUGAUCAAUUUCCCAAGUGCCUCUUCCAUCUUGAAGGGUGUGUCUACUCUUGUCUCUCCUAGUUGGCCUGAUUCCACCAAUGAAGAAAGCUCUGGCAUUAGCAGAUGUCAGUAAAGACUAUCAGAGAUUGAUGUUAUGCGCCUUGGGAUUGAAUCUUUGAAAUUCGCCAGUCCCCUUCUUUUGGAAAUCUGGACAACAUUUAUAUUUGAGGACUGUCUGCAAUUUAAAUGUGCACAGAAUGAGACUCAGAAAGGUGGAGACUCCCAGUAAAGGAUGACAGAGGGCACAGAAGCCACCAGCAGAUUCUUUGGAAGGAAGUAACAGGAGUGGAACUUCAUUUUCCCAUGGAUUGUAAAGGGCUGGGCUCCCUUCCACCUCUUCUCACUGGCCUCCUGUUUGUACCCCUGACCUCUCCGGGAUCUUCUUGCUAUGUCACCCAGGCUGGAGUGCAGUUGCGCCAUCUCGGAUCACCACAACCUCCACCUCCUGUGUUCAAGUGAUCUGCCUCAGCCUCCCAAGUAGCUGAGAUGACAGACUUCCCACUGGGUUCCAGCCGGCACACCCAACCUCUUCAGGACCUGUGAGUAAUAAAUUUAUUUUGUUUUAUGCAUGUUGGUUUUACCUCCUCUUUGUGUCUCACCUGACACACACACCUGAACCUUCCUUCCUUCCCAUUAGGGCUCUCCUAGACAGUGAUUAUCUUGGCACAUUGCCACGGUCAAGAGCGACACCUCAAGACCAAAUUAGAAACAGUCACAAUAGCUUCACUUCUGUCAAUGGUUCAGCCUGAGCAACAGGCAUAAACUUCAUUUUUCUUCACCUGAUACUCUCUGAUUCAACACCCUACAUUUCUGCCAGGCUUGUGUGGUCUCUUUAGAAUGGCCAUACUCUAAAAAAAUUGCAAAUGGAACUGCAAAUCCACUACCUGUGUGUCUUCGGACCAGCCAUGUCACUUUUGGAUUUCUCACUUAUGAGAUGCAGUAAUUGCCAGUUGCUCUCCCAAGCCUAAAGUACAAUGCCUUUUACCACAGUUAUUGAUGAACACUUAUCUGAAUUAAAAGGAACUUAGCAUCUUCUUAAC
rnacentral:lncRNA from 1 species